GCAGGCUCAACCAGAGGGUGUUUAGCCGGUGUGAAACGCAAGCAAAAUUCAAAAACUUGCUAAAAUACACAAGAGAUAGACAACUGGGUAAACUUACAGUGUUUUUACAAGAUGGAGAAGUUAAAUUACAUUUUUGGGGUUUAAUCAAUACAACGAGUUCUUCGGAACGUCGCUCAGACGGUUGCAGCACCUUCAGGUUUCUAAGCCGUCAGGGUUUCUUCUUGACAGGCCUGAUGGUCCCUGUGUGCCUGUAUGUGUCCUGUGUUUGUCUGCGUUAGCCGCCAUAAAACACCAGGAGCCUCUUGAACUGCAAGCUCCUAGAGGUGAAAGGUCACCUGGCAGGUGGCAGAAGAAGGUCAAGGGCAUGUCAGAAGUUGACGAGAAGUUACCAAUGUUUCUGACAGGGAUUUGGCCCUUCUUCUCAUGGGUCACGACUUCCCUCUGUGCCUAGCGCCAGAGGCGGUUUGUUCUCUGCUCAAGAGUGAUAUAACUUCCUUGACCCUUUCAUAUAAAUUCUUUUGAUUGGGAGUUCUGCUGUCACAACACCAACUUAGGGGCAUUAAGUGCAAGUCUGAAAGGAUUUGGCAUUGGUUUUGGGAGUAUAAAAGAUGGAGAAAAUACUUUACCAUGGCUUUGAAAUUACUGGCAUCCAAAACACCCAACAUUUUAUAUCAUGUAUUUCCCUCCCCAUUUUGUGUCAAAUUUGGACCAUCUAUUAGAGUAUGCUUCGAUGCAAGACACCACGUGAAUAAAGUAAAAAUGUUCAUACA